rnacentral:lncRNA from 1 species
GUUUUCAUUAUCAUACUAGGCAGGUCUCUCAUUUUAUAAAUAUGCCAGUGUUUACUUCAGAAAUGUAAUCAGGUUAAAAAUUCUUGCUGUGCUGUCCAACUAGAGAUCAGUCUCUAGAUCUCACUUAAAGUUGGAAGGAGAGCACCAGCUCCCAAAAGAUUGUCCCAUGGGGCCUAGAGAGAUAGCUCAGCAAUAAAGAACACUGUCUCAGUCUUCCAGAGGUUCUGAGUUCAAUUCCCAGCAACCACAUGGUGGCACACAACCAUCUGUAAUAGGAUCUGAUACCCUCUUCUGGUCUGUCUGAAGACAGCUAUUAUUUGUAUAUACAUGCUGAAGUAUUGCUUAUGAUAGGCUAUCUGUGAUUUGCUUUGGAAUGAAAAUCAGUUGUAGGAUUUGUAAAACUGGCUAAUGACUAUAUGAACUAGAAUUAUUUCAGUUUUGUGCCUAUUUAAAAAUCUUCCUUAUAAAACAUUUUAAAUUUAGAGUAAAAGUUGACCAUAGUGGGACCUGGUCAAGCAGACUACAAUAGCAGAAUCAGCGGGUAUACCUGUAAUCUGAAUACUUGUUGGUGUAGGUAAGACAGACUCGUUUAGAGUUGGAAGCCAGCCUGGGCUUCAGAAUAGGGUCCAAUCUCAAAAUAAAAACAAAACUCCAAACAGAACCAGAUGGUUUGGUUUCUCCCUGUUGUUUACUGUAUGUACUAUGAGCCAAGUUCAUCUCCUGACCAUCACAUAUUUCCAGUCAACAACGAAAUGGAGUGGCUCAAUAAAAAUAUAGUGGCCUAUAUAGAGUAGGGAUUUUUUGUUUGUUUGUUUUUCUGGUUUUGUUUUGAGACAGGGUGUAGCCUUGGUUGCCCUGGAACUUCCUUUAUAGACCAGACUGAGAUAUAUCACAAUUUUUAAAAUUUUAAAGAAGUCUACAAAGUUUGGAAAGCCUUCUUGACUGGAAGAUUGAGGAGGUAAAUUUGUUAAUUAUUAAUAUGUUCAGUAUAUAGUAGAUCUUUGAGUUGGCUGAAUUUUUGGUGAAGCAUCUCAUAAAUACCAGAUUUAUGCCAAAUACUGAAGCUUUACCAAAGAAAUCUGACCUGGUAUUUAAAUAAGCCUGUUUACUACUCAGGCCUUAGCAUCACUAGUGACAUGGAACAAAACUGUCCAUUCCUCAACUUCACUUGAAACGGUUGCCUUAGAAGAAGGAGUUCCUUGUUUGUUUUCAUCUUAGUUCCUAUUCUAUUCCUUUUGUAUUGGAAAGCUGUAUAUCAAAAUUUGUAAUGUGCUAAGUUCUUAGAACCAUGCACUUAGGUGAAUUAUAACAGAUUUAAUUAGAAUGACCACACAGCUAAAUAAUAUGGUAUAUCAAAUCUGUCGAUUUCAAGAUCUUUUCAUUAUACCAUGUCACUCUUCUGAUUUCAGGAACCUUUGACUGUGCUGUUAAAAUCUUCACUUUCUUCCAUUUGUUGUUUAGAUAUAUUUUGAGUUUUUUUUCCUUCAGGCUGCUUUGUCAGAAGAGGAAAUAAAUGGGAAGUUAUUGAGAGUUAUCCCUUAUUAUAGUGAUUGCAAAUUCUUAUUUCCUGGUAAUGGGAGGCAAAGCUUCCAGAUAUCUGUAUACCAUAAGUUGCUUUUGAGCCUCCUUUAUUCCAGACUAGUUGCAGUUCAGAAGAUAUAUAUAUAGAGCAAAAACUUGGGUUUCUGGAUACUUUAGAUCAUAUUUUGAUUUUUUUGUUUGUUUUUGUUUUUGAGGAAAAGUUGUAUGGUCUUUAUCAGGUUAUUAUGGAUAUCAAUGACCACUCCUUAACAGCACCUGUUUUUCAUUAUUCCAUUGAUUAUAUGAAAAGUAUAAGAACUACAGAUAUCCUAGAAUUUGUUUAAGAAAGCAACAUAUACCAGAUUCAGCUAAUUUUUUGGUCUGAAAAGGGUAACAAACUAUUAUGAAGCCCACCUAUGAAGCAGUUCUUGUCUGAGUAAAGACUUGUAUAUAUAGUGUAAACAAAGUUCUCAGUACAUGAAUGGAUGUUCAGUGCAACACUGCAGAGUACCAAAAAUGAGUAUCUGCCUGCUGAAGAAUCAUUUAAAUUAUAAUGAAUCAAUAGAACAGUGCUACAGUAUCAUUGAAGAAGUACAUAUUUAAAUAUGGUCACGUUAAAUAUCAAAACCAGUUUACAAAACCAGUCAGACUAUUCCUUUUCUCUUUUAAGAGGAUACACGAGAAUUUUACUUCUGUUUUUUAUGUUCUUCUAAUGAUAGGUUUUUUGUUUGUUUGUUUGUUUGCAAUAUAUAGUAUCACUGUGUGGCUCUAGUCAGCCUGAAACUUGGUAUGUAGACUAACCUUAAACUUAGAAAAAGUCUUUGUCUCUUCAUGUUGUAGAAUUCCUGCCAUUUGCCCAGCACACCCAGUUAUGAUUGUAUACUUUAUAAGCAUCUUUGUAAUAGAGCCGGACCACUGCAGUGAGGAGGCCUCUUGUACACAUCAGAGUAUUAUGCUUAAGGUUUCUUUGGUGUUACUGUCCUUAGCUGUCAUUUGAGAAAUCUUCUAUCAUAUUUUCCUUUAUUACGGUAAGAAAAAGUUUGUGUUUUCUAAACAACAAGCUACUUACACAAGAAACUCCCCUGGUAAACAAUGCAGUGGAUUGGCUUUUAAGCAGACAGGAGGGUUACUUUCCCUUCAGAAUUUGACUCAGUUAUAGGAAGAAACAUAGUUAAGAGGUAUUUUUGGUUUGGUAUGAUUUUUGUUUUUCUUGUAAGUGGUUGUCAACAUGUAAUUCUUGUCACAUGAGUAAACCUAAAGAGUUAAACAUAUUCAAGGACAGGGUGAGGUGAUGAUUCCACAUCCUAAAUCCAGCAUUUGGGUGGAGGAGGCAGGAUCUUUUAAGUUUGAGGAGUUCUAGGCCAGCCAGAACAAUAUAGUGAGACCAAGUGUCUCAAAAAAAAAAAAAAGAAGAAGAAGGCGGCUUCAGGGCUGAUAAUGUGGCUUAGUUGGUAAAAGUGCUUGCCUACCAUGCAAACAGCUCUAGACUUGAUUCCUAUCACCAUAUAAAACUCUAGGUGUUUUGGUACAUCCCUAUUAUUAGCAUGCAGGAGGUAGAGGCAGGUGAAUUGGAGUUUGAAAUCAGCCUACAGAGUACCUAAGAUGGAAGACACACCUUCAGAUAGCUUUUAUGUUCAUAGUAAUUGUUUGUUGUCAUUGAUAAAGGGAGAAGUGGGAAAUCUGCAUAUAUAAAACUCAAGGUAAAGCUACAUAAUAUAAAUUCCCCCAGAGAGCUGGAAGAUUCUGGACUUGUUAAUAAACACACUUUUAAUUUAGAUAUUGCUACCCAACGUAAUUAGUUUAAUAAAUAAAAGCUACGUGUUAAAAUCUUAAUUUUCUUUUGAAAUCUGCUGUAUUUGUGACUUUCUUGUGAGUAAAUUCCCCCUUUCAUUGUUACUCAUACAACCCAGAGCUUAUUGAAUGCUAGGCAAGCACUCUACCACUCAGCUAUACCUUCAGUUCCCUGAGUUAAUCUUUUUCUAAUUAUGUUUUUGUCUGUAAAAUAAUCAAGGUUUGGCGAUGUCUCAGUGAUUAAAAGUACUUGCCUCACAAGCAUGAGAGCUGGGUUUGAGUAAACCCAUGCAAAACUGUACAGGUCUGUUAUUCCAGCCUGUAAGAGAGUCCAGACAGGAAAGUCACCAGAAUCGCCUGAUAACUUCAGGUAUCAGUCUUCCUCUGACCUGCAUACUUGUGUGUUCACACAGAGGUUUUUAAAAACCAUCUUCUAAGUCCUAAAACUAUUUUUAUGAAGUUGAAUUUAUUUAAGCCAGUACAAUUAUGAGGUAUGCCUCCUAGUACAUGUAAAUAACUAUCUAGGAAAGGUAAAUGUACGCCUUGACCUCUAUCAUAGCCAUUAUAAGUAGGACUUUCUUUUUAAUUGGUCUUAAAAUUGCUUCAUAGUAAGCGAAGCUUUACAGACAUUUUACCAGUUCCAGAAUCCCCUAGAGAGAAUGUAAAUUUUAAGAAACCAAAGGAUAAACAAGAGUUAGAAGAAAAGGAAAUUUUAUCUUGGCUUGAAUUGUUAAGUCACAUAUUUCAGAUUAUGCCAAUCUGUUUCUCUUUCUUUCUUUUUUCUACAACUCCUGGAUCUAUUUCCUGUAUUCACUAUCUUCACAGUUAAGCCCAAUUUACUAUUGUGUAAAUUAGGUGAGCUUCUCACCAGAUCUCUGAAUAUUUAUAAAUACUCCUGUAGUAUUUAUCCUUUCUCUCCCUUUUACUGUUUGGUUUGUUGGUUUUUAUUUUGAGACGGUCUCACUGUGUGCCCACCUUGACCUGGAACUCACAGGGAUUGCCUUUCUAGGACUGAGACUAAAGGCUUUUACCACCACACCCAGCCUAUAUCUUUUGGGUUUUUGUUUGGGUUUUAUUGUGGGGUUUUUUACUUCUUUGUCAUAUUUUUCCCAUUUCCUCUUCCUAUACUUUUUGGGUGUGGAAAGGCGGAAGCUAUUUUUAGCCACAUUCAAGUUAUUAGUGUGGCACUUCUUUCUUUGUAGAUUCUUCUAAUUCUACAAGCUUCAUAAAUAUCCUACUGCAGAUUCUUCUCCAUGUGUUUCUUAGAGCGGGACAGUAUUCUUUCUGUUGUACCUACUUGAGACAUAAAUUGCCAAGCAAGUUGAGGAUUCACAGAAAAUAUGAAGCAGGAAAAAAGAAAAUAACUAUUUUAUAUUGAUACAUUUAGAAGUCAUCU